rnacentral:rRNA from 1 species
UACGUAGGCAGCAAGCGUUGUUCGGAGUUACUGGGCGUAAAGGGGGUGUAGGCGGUUGUUUAAGUUUGGUGGGAAAUCUCCCGGCUCAACCGGGAGGGUGCGCCGAAUACUGAGUGACUAGAGUGCGGGAGAGGAAAGUGGAAUUCCUGGUGUAGCGGUGAAAUGCGUAGAUAUCAGGAGGAACACCUGUGGUGUAGACGGCUUUCUGGACCGUAGCUGACGCUGAGACACGAAAGCGUGGGUAGCAAACAGG